rnacentral:lncRNA from 1 species
GGGGAGUGGGACACUGCAUUCCUUUCAAAACAAGGCCGUGGCAAUAAGUUUUCAGGAGACAUGAAUCAGCCACGUAGGCAGUUAUAAAUAAUGGGGCGCAGCCGGGCUGGGUGACAUACCACUGCACUGCGUAUAUUGCAAGAACAUAUCAAUACUGUGCACUUUCUGCAUUUAAUCUUCCAGCAGACUUGGCAUCCACACACCCUCUGAGGCCGGUGGGAGUCUGGUCUGUGGGAGAACCAACUUGCUCUUGCUCUCCGCAUGGGAUUUUUAUGCUAUUUCAUGAGCUGGGACUGUACGGCUGGAGAACAGUGCUGUCACUUAUACCAAACUAUUGGCAAGAGAGUGCUUCACACAUAUUAAAGCCAAGCUGUCUACAUGAGGGUACAGCAGUAAGCAUAGGGAUGAGUGGAGAGAUGCAUGCGCUCUCAGCACAUGAGAUGAGCCCUCCAGAGGAAUGCUCUCUUGCAUCCAGGACCCUGUGGCUGUGCCUGUGUUGCUGUUUGAAUGCUGGGAUUAAAGUUAAGCUUCUCUUGUAAUCGCAGUCCCAUUCAGAUUUUGGGAAAUGCAAGUACACAGCACCAGGAUGUGGCCACACCCCUCUUUAUUAGCCAGCCUGGCACCUCAUUGCCAGUGUCCACAAUGAAUUGGAGAUUACAGAGAGUCCCAUACCAGUGCAUCACAGCACUGACAUCUCAUCCCAGCUUGCAAGGCUCAACGGGCUCCGUGAGCAGCGUCUGCUGGGGGACAACCAGGGUGGUUGUAAGAAGCAAGGAAAUGGGAGACUCCAGCAUUAGUGUUGACCACAUGCAUGGGAGGUGCAACAGAAGCUAUGGAAGUUUCAAAGAUACUGACAAGCAGCUGGGAGAACAAACUUCCAGCACGGAGGAGGCUGCUGGGAAGAGAGGCCAAGCUCUCUAUCAGAGACCCAACUCCGUAUGCCUUUUCUGUUGAAAUCUGUGAAAACUUGGAAAGAAUAACAACAGAUUUAUUUAUCACUUCUAGCAGUUU